AGAGUUUGAUCAUGGCUCAGGAUGAACGCUAGCUACAGGCUUAACACAUGCAAGUCGAGGGGCAGCAUGUUGGUUGCUUGCAACCAAUGAUGGCGACCGGCGCACGGGUGAGUAACGCGUAUCCAACCUACCCUUGUCCAUCGGAUAACCCGUCGAAAGGCGGCCUAACACGAUAUGCGGUUCUCAGCAGGCAUCUAACGAGAACGAAAUGUGAAGGAGAAGGAUGGGGAUGCGUCUGAUUAGCUUGGUUGGCGGGGUAACGGCCCACGAAGGCGACGAUCAGGUAGGGGUUCUGAGAGGACGGUCCCCCANAUUGGAACUGAGACACGGUCCAAACUCCUACGAGAGGCA
rnacentral:rRNA from 1 species